ACCCAUAUAACAGCGUAGACCGUCAGAUCUGCCAUGCCCAAGAAGAUCAGCGGCAAAGACAGCAUAACCCCAGGUUGUAAAGUUGAUGCAGAUCUUUUGAAACAACCAACCAGUGUCAGAUCCAUAGCCGUGAGUCAUGUAAACCGAGCCUUUGACUUUCUGAUCCAACGGUAGGAAACUCUGCGUGAAGAGCUUCCCAUUGGGCGUCUCAAAGUAUGAUUUUGUAUUGGUGACUCCUUGUGAUGCAUAGUACUCCUCCUCCGGCAUGUGUCCCCAGAAGUUCGGUGGCGUUUCCGGGGACUCCAUGGUUUUUGCUUUUCUUUGGUUCCUGGAAAACUAGGUUUUGAUAGAGAGAGAGAGAGAGAAAAGUGUUUUGUGGGAAUCGGAUGGGGUAGAUUUUUAAAGGUGGAGACACAAGCGUUGAAGAG
rnacentral:misc_RNA from 1 species